AUGUGGACCCGUCUUCGUCAGCGCUAUCAGCCCUCUGGUGAUGCCUUAUACCUUUCUGUGGUCCGUCAGGAGCAUGCUCUUCAGCAGGGUGACUCUACUGUUGAUGACUUCUAUGCACAGAGUUCUGCUAUCUGGCGCCAGCUUGAUUCUCUCCGCAGUGCCGGUUGUCGUACCUGCCCCUGUUGCCAGGCUGUCCAGGCCAAUUUGGAGUUUCAUCGCGUCUAUGAGUUCCUGUCUCGGCUCCGUAAGGAGUUUGAGCCCCGGCGUGCUCAGUUGUUUGCUCGUGGCCGUAUUUCUCUGAUGGAGGCGCUUUCUGAGAUUCGUGCUGAGGAGACUCGCUUACGUGGUGCUGGUUUGCUGGAGGUUCCCUCUGUGCUCGCUACUCGUGCUCCUAUGCCACCUGCUGCACCGACCCCUUCUCGCUCGAGUGCUCCACCGCUCUUGUCCACUCCUUCUGGAGGCUCAGGUCGCCCCCAUCCACAUUGCGACUACUGCAACAAUGAUGUUCAUCUUGAGUCUCAGUGCUACACGAAGAACAAACACCUGCGCAAGGCGUGAUCAUCAUCUUCAGGGACUUCGUCA
rnacentral:rRNA from 1 species